UGGCACGUUAACUAAAUCAUAUGAUCGAGUUGAUAAUUGUGAGGUGACGUGACAUCGAAGACUACCAAUGACUCGAUUGCAUUCGUACGUGCCCCGUGAAACGUACCAGAAAAUUGACCGUUUAUCCGAACAAUAUCGGCCAGACCGACUUUGCGGGCAUAAGAAUCCGAAAGACAUUUACAUCAUUUUUGGAGCAGGUCGUGGAGGUAAAACGUUGGGCGAAGUCGAAUGGGACGAGCGGAUCGUAAUGACCACCUAUGAUUGGACCAAGAUAAGCAAAUCGUUGGGGAUUGAAUGGGGCAAGAUUAAGUUGAGGGAUCAUAUUUGGUUUCAGUUUUUAUAAAUGUAGAAGGCGCAAACGGAGGUCAUGCUGAGUGCGACUGUAACCUCGUUGGAUGUUGAAUGACAAAAAAAUAUGGUCGACGAGAAGGACGAGCUGCUCGAAUAUCACGAGAUUUUAAUGGCGACAGGAAUCAAACCCCGCAUCACUCUCCCAACCACAAACGGAAUAAUUGGCACCGACCUUGGCAACAAGUACUCGCGCCGUGUCAAGGAAAAUUCCCCUCGAAAGACGGUCGUGGGAUUUGUUUACAUCAUCCAUCGGAGUAAACAUCUGUUCGGAAUCACUCGUGACGACUCGGUCGGGCGCGUACUUCAGCAACACGUUUUGAAGAAAUGUGGUCGAAAUGUGCGUUUCAUUGGGUCCGACAGGAUGAAGAUUUAUAGGAAUGCCAAGAAAGAAGUUUGGAAGGUCAAAACGUUAUAGAAGAGGCAAGUAAACUGUGAAUUGGUCAUCUUUGGGAUGGGUGUGACCUCAAAUACGGAAUUGAUUGCGAACAUCAAACCCCAAUUGGAUGAAGAUGACGGAUUUAAAUUGCCAGAUAAGCCUGCCAUGAGAAUGAAGGAUGGAUACAUUCAGGUCAAGGAUGCGAGCUAAAUAAUAAUAUAUAACCGACGUUAAUGGAAUUUAAUUUGCGAUUUUAUUUCUAAAUUUCUACUAGUUUAUGGAGACCGCUCCCCCCAACCACUACACCUCCGGGGGCAUUGUAACUUUCCCAGUAUCCUCAACGACCAUACUGCUUAUCCAAGGGUCAAGAGAAGGAAGAAGGAUUUCAAAAAAACGGCGUGAAAAGAUAUCGAAUACAUUCACAAACCACUCAUUUCCCUGUAUGAGAGACUGUUUUACAGAAAAUUUCAUGGACCGAUCAAGCUCGAAAUUAUGAUAAGAUGACAAGCGAUAGAGGAAAAAUUCAGAAAAAUUAUAUAUUAUCCUUUUAAUUUAAACACUUUAAAAACCGGUUGGAAAAUAAGAUUGGAUUUUAAAUUUGUAUUUCUUUUGCAGAUCCAGUCCGCUUAAAAUUUCAACGUUUUGCGAUCUAGGAAGAUACGGGAUUCCGUUUAGCGAGAAAUUGGUUUGAAAUUAAUUUGCGUUUGUACGAUACCGAAGAAUUCCGAUGAAGAGAGCAAUCUUUUACUAGUUUUAAUAAUAGUGUGAUUGUAAACAUAGAUAAUUGUAUGAGGGAGAAAAUUUAUGAAUUGUUGUGAUAUUGUGAAAUACUCGGUGUGUGAUGUGGUCACAAAAAAUGUAAUGCAAGUUGUAAAAUGAUAAAGUGUAGUAAGAUUUUUAGCAAGGUAUUUAUCUGGUUAGGGAAACAGGGUGGUGAGAUGAUUCUUCGAUAAGUGAUAUUAUCAGUUCAGUAUUUAACAAAAUGCAAAUAAUGCCCAUUUAUGUACUUAAGUUAAUUAUGCAAGUUUAAAGUGAAUAAGUACAGCAUGAAAAGUUGUUAGUGCAUAAUUUUCUAGCAAUAUUAGUGAUAAAUUUGUGAUGUAUUGAACUUUAAAUAUUUAACUAUGCCUUAUUUGUGAAAUUGAGAGAACUGUGUCGUAAUUUUUUAAUAAUAAAUACUGUCUCGAA